rnacentral:rRNA from 1 species
CCUACGGGAGGCAGCAGUGAGGAAUAUUGGUCAAUGGCCGGAAGGCUGAACCAGCCAUGCCGCGUGAAGGUCAGUGCCCUAUGGGCGUUAAACUUCUUUUGUGCGGGAGCAAUAAUGGUCACGUGUGGCCAGACGAGAGUACCGUACGAAUAAGCAUCGGCUAACUCCGUGCCAGCAGCCGCGGUAAUACGGGGGAUGCAAGCGUUAUCCGGAGUUAUUGGGGUUAAAGGGUGCGUAGGCUGGGAGGUAAGUCAGCGGUGAAAUGCCCCGGCUCAACGGGGUGAAGUGCCAUUGAUACUGCCUUGCUGGAAUGCGGAUGCCGUGGGAGGAAUGUGUGGUGUAGCGGUGAAAUGAAUAGAUAUCACACAGAACACCGAUUGCGAAGGCAUCUCACGAAUCCGCGAUUGACGCUGAUGCACGAAAGCGUGGGUAUCAAACAGGAUUAGAUACCCGGGUAGUC